AGCACCACGACACCCAAGGAAGGGAGAAGGGAACGCAAGCGCGCGUGGGCCAGCAGGGGGCGCCGAGGCGCAGCCCCUGUGAGGAAGAUGGCAGGUGGGGAUGGAAUGCUACGCCGUCUGCUGAGGCUGCACCGCACCGAGAUCGCGGUGGCCAUAGACAGUGCCUUUCCGCUGCUGCAUGCUCUAGCCGACCACGACGUGGUCCCUGAGGACAAGUUCCAGGAGACGCUCCGUCUGAAGGAGAAGGAAGGCUGCCCCCAGGCCUUCCACGCCCUGCUGUCCUGGCUCCUGACCCGGGACAGUGGGGCCAUCCUGGAUUUCUGGAGGAUUCUCUUUAAGGACUACAAUCUGGAGCGGUACAGCCGCCUGCAUAGCAUCCUGGACGGCUUCCCAAAAGAUGUGGACCUAAACCAGUCCCGGAAAGGGAGAAAGCCCCUUGCUGGUCCCAAGGCCGCGGUACUGCCACCCAGACCCCCCACCAAGAGAAAAGCACUGGAGGAGCCUCGAGCCACCCCACCAGCAACUCUGGCCUCAAAGAGCGUCUCCAGCCCAGGCUCCCACCUGAAGACUAAGCCCCCUAAGAAGCCAGAUGGCAACUUGGAGUCACAGCACCUUCCUCUUGGAAACGGAAUUCAGACCAUGGCAGCUUCUGUCCAGAGAGCUGUGACCGUGGCCUCUGGGGAUGUUCCAGGAACCCGAGGGGCCGUGGAAGGGAUCCUUAUCCAGCAGGUGUUUGAGUCAGGAAGAUCCAAGAAGUGCAUUCAGGUUGGGGGAGAGUUUUAUACACCCAACAAGUUCGAAGACCCCAGUGGCAAUUUGAAGAACAAGGCCCGGAGUGGUAGCAGCCUAAAGCCAGUGGUCCGAGCCAAGGGAGCCCAGGUCACUAUACCUGGUAGAGAUGAGCAGAAAGUGGGCCAGCAGUGUGGGGUUCCUCCCCUUCCAUCCCUCCCCAGUGAGCCCCAGGUUAACCAGCUCUUUCUUGGAAGUUUUCAAGGAUGCAUAUUAGGAGAUUUCCAAUUAGUCACAGCAGAACGAGGAUGAGUGUGCCGUGUGCCACGACGGAGGUGAGCUCAUCUGUUGUGACGGCUGUCCCCGGGCCUUCCACCUGGCUUGCCUGUCCCCACCUCUGCAGGAGAUCCCCAGUGGCCUCUGGAGAUGCUCCUGCUGCCUCCAGGGCAGAGUCCAACAGAACCUGUCCCAGCCUGAGGUGUCCAGGCCCCCGGAGCUACCUGCAGAGACCCCGAUCCUCGUGGGACUGAGGUCAGCUUCAGAGAAAACCAGGGGCCCAUCCAGGGAGCUCAAAGCCAGCUCUGAUGCUGCUGUCACAUAUGUGAACCUGCUGGCCCCGCACCCUGCAGCUCCUCUGCUGGAGCCUUCAGCACUGUGCCCUCUACUGAGUGCUGGGAAUGAGGGGCGGCCAGGUCCAGCACCAAGCGCGCGAUGCAGUGUGUGUGGCGAUGGCACCGAGGUGUUGCGGUGUGCACACUGUGCCGCUGCCUUCCACUGGCGCUGCCACUUCCCGACGGCCGCCGCCCGGCCGGGGACCAAUCUCCGCUGCAAAUCCUGCUCUGCAGACUCGACUCCCACGCCAGGCACACCGGGCGAAGCUGUACCCACCUCUGGGCCCCGUCCAGCACCUGGGCUUGCCAAGGUAGGGGACGACUCUGCUAGUCACGACCCUGUUCUACAUAGGGACGACCUGGAGUCCCUCCUCAAUGAGCACUCAUUUGACGGCAUCCUGCAGUGGGCCAUCCAGAGCAUGUCACGCCCGCUGGCCGAGACACCACCCUUCUCUUCCUGAUGACAGGUGGCCCAGGAAGGGGUGGGCAGCACAGCAUUGGCUCCCUCCCCACCCAGCCCCAUCGGAUGAGGCACUCUGUUCUGAGAGGCCUGGGCUGAUUAGGACCAAGAGCUGGCAGGUUCUGGCCUGCUGGACUCAGCUUGCAGAUGGCCCUGAUCUUUGUAGAGAUGCAAGGCCACCCCAUAUCCUGGAAUUAAAGUCACUUCUAUGUACUUUGAGGUA